UACGUAGGGUGCGAGCGUUGUCCGGAAUUAUUGGGCGUAAAGAGCUUGUAGGCGGUUUGUCGCGUCUGCUGUGAAAACCCGGGGCUCAACCCCGGGCCUGCAUCCGAUACUCCCGGGCUGGAGGCAGGUAGGGGAGAUCGGAAUUCCUGGUGUAGCGGUGAAAUGCGCAGAUAUCAGGAGGAACACCGGUGGCGAAGGCGGAUCUCUGGGCCAUUACUGACGCAGAGGAGCGAAAGCGUGGGGAGCGAACAGG
rnacentral:rRNA from 1 species